rnacentral:lncRNA from 1 species
GGGUCACUCAAAUUGAGAUCUGAAGGGUAAAUGGGGGUUUGGUCGAUCCAGACAGGAGCAUCAUCUGGACAGAGGUACAGCAAGUACAAAAACCCUGGGGAGUGGGAUGCAGCCCAAAACAUUCAAGGAACUGUGUUUCUUUGAGUAAAAAUCUUAGUCGUUCUGUUUUCAAAUCAUUAUUAUUUUUUUUAUAGCUCACAGUGGCUGUCUGUGCUUUUGUCCAAAAGUGCUGAAGUGUAAGGGUUGAUUUGAGAAAUACGCUUCACGUUUUUCAGCUGCUGUUUACUGUCCUGGAAAAUAAGGAUCAUAAGGCUUUUCCUGUGUCCUCUCUCAAGGUUGUUAUAAAAUUUCAAAGUCGAUAAAAAUACAAAAUUAGUUGGGCAGGGUGGCACAUGCCUGUAAUCCCAGCUACUUGGGAGGCUGAGGCAGAAGAAUCACUUGAACCGAGGAGGCAGAGGUUGCAGUGAGCCAAGAUCGCGCCACUGCACUUGAGCCUGGGUGACAGAGCACGAC